rnacentral:rRNA from 1 species
GAUGAACGCUGACAGAAUGCUUAACACAUGCAAGUCGAUGGGGAAGUGGUGCUUGCACCAUGGUAACCAUGGCGGACGGGUGAGUAACACGUAAGGAACUUACCUGCGGGACCGGGAUAACAGCAGGAAACUGCUGACAAGACCGGAUAAGGUCAUUAAGCUGCAUAGCUUAGUGAUGAAAGGAGACGCCUGCGGAGAGCCUUGCGUCCUAUUAGCUAGUUGGUGGGGUAACGGCCCACCAAGGCGAAGAUAGGUAGCCGGCCUGAGAGGGUGGACGGCCACAAGGGGACUGAGAUACGGCCCUUACUCCUACGGGAGGCAGCAGUGGGGAAUAGUGGACAAUGGGGGCAACCCUGAUCCAGCAAUUCUGUGUGCACGAAGACGGUUUUCGGAUUGUAAAGUGCUUUCAGCAGGGAAGAAGGAAGUGACGGUACCUGCAGAAGAAGCGACGGCUAAAUACGUG